rnacentral:lncRNA from 1 species
AAAAAAAUAUCAAAAUACUCUUUUCUCCAUUUUUUUAUGAAGGCCGUCUAAGAAAAAUAUAAAAAAAUUUAUACACAUACUAGCUUAUAUCUUUUAACUAAGAAAUAUCGUUUUUAAAUAUUGAUGUGGACAAUGAUUUAUAUGACCGUUUUGUGUAAUAUUGAUAUAAGUAUAAUGUUUAUUGUUUCUAAUUCAUCUCUUAUCAAAAUAAAGAAAUAUGUGAACAAAUCAAUUUGAUUGCUAUAUAUGUAUAAGUUAUGUUAGUGUAUAUGCAAAGGUUCAAAAAAUGGUAGACAACAAAUAAGUUCGGUGACUUUUAAUAUAACCUGUACAUUUAUAUGUAAGUUAGAUAAUAUUUUAAAAAAUAUACAUAAAUUACCGAUAAAAAUAUAUAUAAAUUUCCGAUAUAAAUUACCGAUAUAUAUCAUGAUUAGUUAUUUAAAAAAUUAUAUAAACGAUAUUUUUUAGUUUUUUUUCCUGAAUGUCUUGAUAUACAUUUUAUUAAAAUUAUAAAAAAACUAUUAUUUUUUUAUUCAUAGGUUAAAAUUAUAAAAAAACUCACUUUUUUAUAAUAUAACCUGCACAAGAUGUAAAACUAUUAUUUUUUUAUAAAAAUGUAAUGUCUUGUUCGUAAGUUAAAAUUAAUAUUCAUAGGUUUGAAAAUAAAUAUUUUUUUAUUUGUUUCGAAAUAUAUAUAGUCUUAUGGAUGUGUGCAUAUUUUUUUUAAAGUAAUUGUU